rnacentral:miRNA from 12 species
AUUUAAAGCCUGCUGGAGGCAAUGGAAGGCCUUUCAUUUACUUCAAUGGGCUUUGGAUCAGAACCU